UACGUCGGGGGCCAGCUUUUUCCGGAAUCAUUGGGCGUAAAGAGCGUGUAGGCGGCCAGAUAAGUCCGCUGUGAAAUCUCGAGGCUCAACUUCGAGCUGUCGGUGGAAACUGUCUGGCUAGAGUCCGGAAGAGGAGAAUGGAAUUCCUGGUGUAGCGGUGAAAUGCGCAGAUAUCAGGAAGAACACCCGUGGCGAAGGCGGUUCUCUGGGACGGUACUGACGCUGAGACGCGAAAGCGUGGGGAGCGAACAGG
rnacentral:rRNA from 1 species